UGCCUGAAAGAGAACGGAAAUACACAAAGCCUCUUGAGGACUAAUACCAGAAUUGGUACUACUGCCUAGUUCUUUUGACCAAAGCAAGUCACAAGGCCUGCCCACAUUCGAGGAGCUGGGAAAUAGACUCUAUCUCUUAUAUAAGGUGUUAUAAAAUCAUAUUGCAAGGGACAUUAUUACAGGGAGGAAUAAAAAAUUAGGACCAAUUUUUCAACCAAUUUACCAUACCUACUAUGAACCUAGGUUAAUUUUCUACAAUAAAAAUGAAGUAAUAUGAUUUAAAAAAUAAAGUUUAUUUUUAUAAACAUGCAGGUACAGAAAUUAAUCAUUGCUUGCAUUUCAGAACAUGUCCUUGUACUGUCACGUCCAGAACCAAUAGAACACUGUGGGGAAAUAAAUAUGCCCCACAUAACUUAAAGUUCCCUUUUUGUUAGGACAUCAUGGAUUGCACAUAUUUUUGGUGGAAUGAAUGUUAGUGAUAUUGAUGGGUCAGCUGAAAAAAGUGACACAGGAUAUUAUAAAUGUCUAUGUCAGUUUCUAUACCCAACUCCGUUGAAGUGAUACAGGACUUCAAGACUUUCCAUGUGUCUCAUUCCUUUGUGAUCCUAUAGUAAAUAACACUAACAUUUCCUACUAAACCAGAAUCCUAGAAAGCAGCAUUUUUACAAAAAAUAAGAAAACUUCAGGACAACAGAAGUCUAAACAGGAAAUAUUCAAUGUAUAGUGUAUCCUGGUGUGUAAUGAUUUACCCAGUGAUUGCAAUAGCAUUAUCAAAAGUCAGCUGUCAAUAGAUUUGAGUACCAUCAUGUUUUCCUUUUUGUGGAAAGAACAGAAAAAAAAUAAUUGACUGUAGAAAUCUCAGUAAAUAAUUGGCAAUCAGUGACUGAAUUUAGGCAAAAUGUAUGUUCUUAAUUUGGGUACAUUUAGUUCACAUCAGUUCUGACUUUGCCAUUACCAAAGAGUAUACAUGUCUAGUUAGAUUUUCUUUGAUAUCCUAAUGCUGUAAUUCUUCUUACAUGCUUUUUGUUUUUAAUUACAAUAGAAUGGGUGCAAUGACUGAAUCCACAGGGAUGAAUCCUCCACCUAACCCCAACUCCCUCUCUAUAAUCCUCCUUUAGUUUUUUUAUAUUCUCACCAAUAGUGCACAAGAACAUACUAUCUCCAGAUCCUUGCCAAUACUUGCUAUUUUCUGUUUUGUUUUUUGAUAAUAGUCAUCCUAAUGGGUAUAAGGUAUUUGACUUCCCUUUAUUUGAAGGCUCUAGUUUUUCUAAAAUUGAACUUAUGAGUGACAUUUUGUAGCAUUUUGUUACAAUAGCUUGCCUAUGAAUGGUGAAGCAAAAAGAUUUCAUUUAUGCUGCCUC
rnacentral:lncRNA from 1 species